rnacentral:rRNA from 1 species
UACGUGGGUGGCAAGCGUUAUCCGGAUUUAUUGGGCGUAAAGGGAACGCAGGCGGUCUUUUAAGUCUGAUGUGAAAGCCUUCGGCUUAACCGGAGUAGUGCAUUGGAAACUGGGAGACUUGAGUGCAGAAGAGGAGAGUGGAACUCCAUGUGUAGCGGUGAAAUGCGUAGAUAUAUGGAAGAACACCAGUGGCGAAGGCGGCUCUCUGGUCUGUAACUGACGCUGAGGUUCGAAAGCGUGGGUAGCAAACAGG